rnacentral:rRNA from 1 species
UUGGAGGGCAAGUCUGGUGCCAGCAGCCGUGGUAAUUCCAGCUCCAAUAGCGUAUAUUAAAGUUGUUGCAGUUAAAAAGCUCGUAGUUGAAUUUCGGGGUCAGUAGGUUGGUCAUGCCACUGGUAUGUACUGGCCUCACUGAUUCCUCCUUCCUGAUGAGCCGUAAUGCCAUUAAUUUGGUGUUGCGAGGAAUCUGGACUGUUACUUUGAAAAAAUUAGAGUGUUUAAAGCAGGCUAACGCUUGAAUACAUUAGCAUGGAAUAAUGAAAUAGGACGUUCGAUCUUAUUUUGUUGGUUUCUAAGAUUGACGUAAUGAUUAAUAGGGAUAGUUGGGGGCAUUAGUAUUCAAUUGUCAGAGGUGAAAUUCCUGGAUUUAUUGAAGACUAACUACUGCGAAAGCAUUUGCCAAGGAUGUUUUCAUUAAUCAAGAACGAAAGUUAGGGGAUCGAAGACGAUCAGAUACCGUCGUAGUCUUAACCAUAAACUAUGCUGACUAGGGAUCGGAUGAUGUUAAUUUUUUAAUGACUCAUUCGGCGCCUUACGGGAAAC